CCUACGGGCGGCAGCAGUAGGGAAUCUUUCACAAUGGGCGAAAGCCUGAUGGAGCAAAGCCGCGUGCAGGAUGAAGGCCCUCGGGUUGUAAACUGCUUUUAUAAGCGAGAAAUAUGAUGGUAACUUAUGAAUAAGGAUCGGCUAACAACGUGCCAGCAGCCGCGGUCAUACGUAGGAUCCGAGCAUUAUCCGGAGUGACGGGGUGUAAAGAGUUGCGUAGUGGGCAUAAUAAGUAGCUGGUGAAAUCUGGCGGCGCAACCAUUCAGACCAUUAGCUAAACUGUUAAGCUCGAGACCGUUAGAGGUAAGUGGAAUGUGUGGUGUAGGAGUGAAAUGCGUAGAUAUUA
rnacentral:rRNA from 1 species